rnacentral:rRNA from 1 species
GACGAACGCUGGCGGCGUGCUUAACACAUGCAAGUCGAACGGAAAGGCCCCUUUGGCGGUACUCGAGUGGCGAACGGGUGAGUAACACGCGUGUAACCUUCCCUUGUCUUCGGGGUUACCUCAGGAAACUGGGGCCAAUACCGGCUAGGAAUCCUUGCUGCAUGGUGGGGGUUGGUAAGCUUCGGCGGUUUUGGAUGGACUCGCGGCUUAUCAGCUUGUUGGUGGGGUAGUGGCUUACCAAGGCGUUGACCGGUAGCUGGACUGAGAGGGUGACCGGCCACACUGGCACUGAGGGACGGCACAGACGGCUACGAGAGGAAGCAGUGGGAAAGAUUGCACAAUGCGCGGCGGCCGGAUGCAGAAGCUCCGCGGGCGGGAUGACGGUCUUCGGGUUGUGGACCGCUUGCAGGAGGAGCGAAGCUUGUGGUGACGGUACCUGCAGAAGAAGCACCGGCUAACUACGUG